UACGUAGGUGGCAAGCGUUGUCCGGAUUUACUGGGCGUAAAGGGCGUGCAGGCGGUUUGUUUAGUCUAGGGUGAAAGCUCCCGGCUUAACUGGGAGAGGUCCUUGGAUACUGGCAAACUUGAGGGAGGCAGAGGAAAGUGGAAUUCCCGGUGUAGUGGUGAUAUGCGUAGAUAUCGGGAGGAACACCAGUGGCGAAGGCGGCUUCUGGGCCUUACCUGACGCUGAGACGCGAAAGCGUGGGGAGCAAACAGGG
rnacentral:rRNA from 1 species